rnacentral:lncRNA from 1 species
GUUCUUCCCGGAAGUGCCCUGCUGGUGCUGGGAGUAGGGCGCAAGAUGUCGGCGGAUGCAGCUCCGAGGAGGUAGGCAGUGGGAGCCGGCGUUCAGUCCGGCCCGUGCCAACAGUGGUUCCUCUCUCCCCCGUAGUUCGAGGAGACCACGCGCUGCCCCUCUGGCACGAUCGUGGAUGAACCCCCUGGCAACUGAAAUGGGAAAGGCAGCGCCCCCGACUCUGGGGACUGGACCGAAGUCCACGGUAGUGACAGCUGCCAGACCCUGAGGAGAGGACGAGAAGACCCGAGGCCUCUGCUACGAACACUGGCAGCCGAUGGAAAAUUCAGACGGAUUUGGGACAGUAUGCAGAGUUCUCCAAGCGACAGAUUAACAGAGGCUCUUGAAGAAUAACUGCGUAAUCACGUGUUCUGCUCAAAAGAAGGCCUGAAUGCCCAGUGCCUUAUUUGGCUUUCAGGGGUCUUGCGGUGUCACCCAGGCUAGAGUACAGUGGUGCAAUCAUAGCUCACUGCUGCCUCAAACUCCUAGACUCAAGCAAUCCUCCUGCUUCAGCCUCCCGAGUAGCUGGGACUACAGGUAGAUGAUGGGCUCCACGGGAACAGAGCAAACGUUCGCUCCUGCUCCUACACGGUGUUUCCUCUAAACCUGAGGCUCAGCCGACUUGUCAUCACUUAAAACCCAAUUCAGAGCGGGGGGGCACUGCCAGUGAAUAGUUCAUCACCGACUCAGUUUCCCCAUGUGUAUGCUGUGGUAUUGGAUCAGCAACGAGAUAAGAAGAUCUCUCCCAUUUCCAAGCGUCUAUGAUGAUUCUGAGGCACAAGGUCACAUUUGACAGUACUAGGAAACCCAGGAAACAAGAAGCAAAGAUGACAAAGGCUGUGUCUGCCUGGGCAGACGAUCUAUUUGGACAAGAUAAUAGACCCAGGCAUGGACAUGCUCUCCAAGAAAGAUGCCCUGACAGCUGCUCACACUGAAGCUGAAUCGAACAUUCCAAUCCUUAGAGGUUCCAGCGAAGAUCUUGAAGUCUCCCUGAGCCAUUGACACAAUGGCCAUGCCAUCCCAGUGAUAAAACACAAAUUGUGGCCUUGUUUUGGACAGAAAUAAAGAGCCCAGUUUGUUAGUGAUUUACUGAUAA